UUCGGGCCGGGGAAAGCCGUUCGAGCAGCGUCGUGUCGCGGUCCGGGACUGUCCUCAGUCCCGGGUCGUCUCGGCGCGGUUCCGAGCGGUCGCUCCCUCGCGAGGUGCCGCGGGUCAGCGGCUGACGCCAGCCACCUUCCCGACCCGUCUUGAAACACGGACCAAGGAGUCUAACAUGUGCGCGAGCCGCGGGGCAGUACGAAACCCGUAAGGCGAAAUGAAGGUGAACGCCGGCGCGGUCCGGCGGAGGUUGGAUCCCGUCCCGUCGGGGCGGGCGCACUACCGGCCGAUCUUCUCCGCCCUGUCGGCGAGGUCGAGCGAGAGCGUGCAAGUCGGGACCCGAAAGAUGGUGAACUAUGCCUGAGGAGGUUGAAGCCAGAGGAAACUCUGGUGGAGGACCGUAGCGAUUCUGACGUGCAAAUCGAUCGUCAAAUUUGGGUAUAGGGGCGAAAGACUAAUCGAACCGUCUAGUAGCUGGUUCCCUUCGAAGUUUCCCUCAGGAUAGCUGGCGCUCUGUCGCAGUUUUAUCUGGUAAAGCGAAUGAUUAGAGGUCUUGGGGGCGAAACGCCCUCAACCUAUUCUCAAACUUUAAAUUGGUAAGAAGCCCGACUCGCUCGUUUGGAGCCGGGCAUGGAAUGCGAGUGCCAAGUGGGCCACUCUUGGUGAGCAGGACUGGCGAUGCGGGAUGAACCG
rnacentral:ncRNA from 1 species